rnacentral:misc_RNA from 1 species
GCCGUUUAUUCUCUCUCUACACCCUCACUAUCGAGUCGCUGUAGAGAGAGAAAAGAACGCAGCGAAUUAGAGAUAUUAGACCACAAAAAGGAAAGUAUUAAUAAAAUAUGCAGAGAAAGCAGCUGUAGUUUUUACUUUGAGAGAGAGGAGACAGAGAAAAGGACUGGAAGAGUACAAUGAGAGUAAACCAGAGUGAGAGAGCGUGCUUUUUAUCUGCUGCUAUUAGAGUACUUUUCUCCUUUAACGAUCAUCAUCACAAGCACCUUCCUUAGCACCACCACCACAACAACCACCAGUCGCCACCGCAUUGUCCAGUUCUUGAUGUAAUAAGAUGUGCAUAAUCUCAUUAUUACUAAUGUGCACGUGAGAUCUUUUUUUUUUUUUUUUUUGGUUCUGCAGUUGUCUUUUGAUGUUUUAUGUAUCUUCACUCUUUAAAUUCACUACUUGAUGAUGGUGGUUGAGGAUUUAUUUUAUUUAGUUCCUCAGAUGCUACUUCACCAUGUAUAACUGAAAGAGUCCCUAUUGAUGAUGUUGAAGAAUCAUUAAUUGGAUUAUUGAUGACAUUAUCAUGCUAAAUCUUGCUCAUGGGCAGUACCAGGUUUGCUGAUAUUGGGAUGCUUGAAUAUCUACAGACAUGACCUUUUGUUCCUGCAGAAGUGAAUCUUGGUUUCAUACUGUAACUGAAUUCAGAGUUGCACUGUUGCUAGCAAGCAGUCCAUGGUUUUACGCAGAGGUAGGGCACUUAAGAAUGCAAUCUCCUGAGAGUAAUUUUCAUCGUUUAUUGAUUUAUGUUUCUUGGUAAACUUCUGAUUAAGCUAAGCAUACAAGAUUUUUCUGGUUAGGGAAGAGGUCUUGUAACCCCAAAUGGACUGUAUUUUACAUAUUAUAUCGUGCAAGCUUCAAAUCUUUACUCAACAUGAUGAAUUAUUAAAUGGCUGCACAACUUGCAUAAACAGGGGAACCUGUUUAGUGCUUCCCGGUAGACUGAGUAACAGGACUUAAAGAAUGAAGAAUGAUUUGAGGACAGACUAAGCUGGAACUUUGGCCAGCUCCCAAUUCUUAAAAGACCUUGGAAUGAGGAUCAAUUUCCUCAGGAUACAACCUACUUUCGUUGAGGUUUGUCCCUUAUUCUUUAAUGGUUUGCUUCUCUUGUAAAUAAAUAAAUACAAACAAAAUUAAGUGUUUGUCUGGUGCUAAUUGACUGUAAAUAAAUUGAGAUUUCCCCUAUUCUUGAAGAAUCUUUCAUUGGAUUGUAGAUGACAUGCUAUAUCUUGCUCAAGCAGUACUGGAAUCACGGUAGCUUCUAUUAUUUAUCAUUUUGUUUCUGUUUGAACUUCUUUUAUUGUACACCAAAUUUUAGGUUCACGCAUGUUUCCUUAAUCGUGCUACGUCUUGCAUUCUUGCUUGUGGCAGUAUUGUAUACUGAGACUUACAAUCAUGAUAGCUUUUAUUCAUUCACCUUUAUGUUUCUGUUUGACUCCUUUUAUUGUAUUCCAAAUUUUGGUUCAAAUGAUAGAAUUCUUUCAUUAAGGUUUAGUCAUAUUUGGUAGACUUAAAAAGCUGCUGUCACCUUUUGGUUUCACCAAAACAGAAUUUGGAUUAUCAUUAAAGCUUGCUAGGAUCAGUUAAGAACCCAAUCCCUCUGGAUUUCAGUCAUUAUUGAUUUACCUAUUUUUUCUAGAUAAGCUUUUGAUUAAAGGUAAAUAUUGUUGUCCUGGUCCCUGGGAGAGGUCUUUGUAACUAAAUUGACUAGAUUUUACAUACAAUAUCUUGUUAGUUUCAAGUCUGUGCGUAUCAUCAUGAAUUAAGAAAUGCCUCCACCACUUAUGUUAACAGGGGGCCUGCCUGACUCUUCCUGAUAGACUGGGUAUCAGAUCUUAAAGGAUGAAAAAGAAUUUGAACACAUGCAGAAGACAAGGCGAGUUCCUGAUUUUUGAAAGACCUGGAAUGCGAACUUAAAGAACAAGUUUGGAUUUAAGCUAAUUAUUUUUAUUUCUUAGGCCAGAGAUAAUAAGGUUACACCAGUGGUCAGAGUUACUUUGCUUUUUGCAAAAUGUGAUAUCAAAGUCAGCUUUCAUAAUAGUUGAACUGUUAAGUCUAUUUACCAAUUAUGCUCAAAUAUCUUAUUUUAUUAAUUCUCAUAAGCUCAAAUAUUUUCCUAGAGUUUGCUUUAUGUAUGAUAUAUAAACUUAGAGGGUGGCCUUAUUGUAACGGUAAAAGUUACUCUACUUGUGACCUAGAGGUCACGGAAUCGAGCCAUGGAAACUACCUAUCUAUAAAGUAGGGAUAAAGCUACAUACAUCAACCCUUUCCCAGAGCCCACAAGUAUGAGAUGUUUCAUGCAUUGGGUCACCCUUUAUAUGAUAUAUAAACUUCCUCAACUUUGUGUGUGUGCAUAUAGUUCAAACAGAAACUAGCAUACAUCAUUUACAGGGGAAAAUUAUUCACCCUUCCUUUCAAUCUACUGUUCUGAUUGUUGCAUGGCAUCUAUUUACAUCUUGUUUUGACAAGUACCCGAACAAAAUAUGCCUAUGUUUUAUCUGAAAAUCUCAUAUUUUAGCA